rfam:Schistosoma haematobium scaffold1369_3, whole genome shotgun sequence.
AUCCAGCUGACGAGUCCUAAAUGGGACAAAACACGCAUCCUGGAU